AGUCAACAUGCCCAGGGGACGUGGAUAACCUCGGGAAACUGAGGAUAAACCGCGAUAGGUCAUCACUUCUGGAAUGGGUAAUGACUUAAAUCUACAUGGCCCCUGGAUUGGACUGCGGCCGAUCAGGCUGUUGGUGAGGUAAUGGCCCACCAAACCUGUAACCGGUACGGGCUCUGAGAGGAGGAGCCCGGAGAUGGGCACUGAGACAAGGGCCCAGGCCCUAUGGGGCGCAGCAGGCGCGAAACCUCUGCAAUAGGCGAAAGCUUGACAGGGUUACUCUGAGUGAUUUCCGUUAAGGAGAUCUUUUGGCACCUCUAAAAAUGGUGCAGAAUAAGGGGUGGGCAAGUCUGGUGUCAGCCGCCGCGGUAAUACCAGCACCCCGAGUGGUCGGGACGUUUAUUGGGCCUAAAGCAUCCGUAGCCGGUUCUACAAGUCUUCCGUUAAAUCCACCUGCUUAACAGAUGGGCUGCGGAAGAUACUAUAGAGCUAGGAGGCGGGAGAGGCAAGCGGUACUCGAUGGGUAGGGGUAAAAUCCGUUGAUCCAUUGAAGACCACCAGUGGCGAAGGCGGCUUGCCAGAACGCGCUCGACGGUGAGGGAUGAAAGCUGGGGGAGCAAACCGGAUUAGAUACCCGGGUAGUCCCAGCUGUAAACGAUGCAGACUCGGUGAUGAGUUGGCUUAUUGCUAACUCAGUGCCGCAGGGAAGCCGUUAAGUUUGCCGCCUGGGGAGUACGGUCGCAAGACUGAAACUUAA
rnacentral:rRNA from 1 species